AAAACAUUUGGGUCUUAUGGAGCAAAGUCAAUUGCCCCAAGAGUUGCUUUGGAUGACCAGAAUGUUUAGGAUUCUGGAUUAAUUCUUAUGGAAACCAAUGUCUGCUUCCCACCCACCCCCUCAUCUUCAGUUUCGAUUCUGCCAUCAUCUUUUCCUUUUUGACCUCUAUAUUUGUCCACUCACCCUUGCCUUCUGAAAUUCUCUUGUCCAGGUGUUCACUGCUCACUUGAUUUCAACAACCUUCAAGAUGACCAGCAGGCGUAAGUCUUAGCCACCUCUGUCCACUCUCUCACUGCUGCUUGAGUGCUGUUUCCCAAAAUAAACUGGGGUGUGCUUUUCUUCAAAAGAUCACCAGUGCUUCUACAGAACUCUCAAAUUAGUUGCCAGAGGGCUGCUUUUGAUACUUAAUGAGGUUUUAUCUUAUUUAGUCAUGAACUCUCCUUAAUAAUAAUCAUAAAAAUAAAGGUGCUUGAAGAUGAUCUGGUUGAGUUCUCCACCAAACUGCGCCUCCUGGAAUCUCCUGUCGGGUGCACUCCCACCACUUCAGGGGGUGAAACCAAAGUAAGAAAUAAGAGACAAUUGUUUAUACACAGCUUAUUUUCCAGUAGAAUUAAUUCAGUAUCUCUACCAGAUUGAAUGCAGUAGGAGAAGGGAACGACAGAGGAUGAGACGGUUGGAUGGCGUCACUGACUCGAUGGACAUGAGUGUGAGCAAGCUCUGGGAGUUGGUGAUGGACAGAGAAGCUUGACGUGCUGCGGUCCAUGGGGUCACAAAGAGUCGGACACGAUUGAGUGACUGAACCGAGCUGAACCACAUUGGGAUUAUUAUGUCUUCCUCCCUCUCCUCAUUGUUAUUUUUGUUAUUAUACUACUACUAUAAUAAAGAAUUAUGAAC
rnacentral:lncRNA from 1 species